GUAUUUUGACUAUACGAAGGUAUUGAAAUAAGGCUUUAAAUGAGUGCUAAGAGAAUGGUUGAACAAUUAUAGGCUUUCUUUAAUUAAUAAAUUGAAGUUAAUGUUUUUGUGAAGAAGCAGGAAUGAAGAUUAGGGACAAGAAGACCCUAUGAAUUUUAUAAUUAAAAUAUAAAUUAUUUUUUAUAUUUUUUAAUUUUAAUUGGGGCGAUGAGAAAAGAAUAAUUAUCUUUUUUUAAGGAAUUAAUUUGAUCCAUUAAUAGUGAUUAGAUGAUUAAAAUACUCUAGGGAUAACAGCGUAAUAAUUUCGGAUAGUUCAUAUAGAUGGAAUAGUUUGCGACCUCGAUGUUGGAUUAGGAUACUUUUUUGGUGGAGA
rnacentral:rRNA from 1 species